rnacentral:rRNA from 1 species
CACGUUGCUACAAUGGGUCGGUACAAAGGGUUGCCAAGCCGCGAGGUGGAGCUAAUCCCAUAAAACCGAUCGUAGUCCGGAUCGCAGUCUGCAACUCGACUGCGUGAAGUCGGAAUCGCUAGUAAUCGUGAAUCAGAAUGUCACGGUGAAUACGUUCCCGGGCCUUGUACACACCGCCCGUCACACCAUGGGAGUGGGUUGCUCCAGAAGUAGCUAGUCUAACCGCAAGGGGGACGGUUACCACGGAGUGAUUCAUGACUGGGGUGAAGUCGUAACAAGGUAGCCGUAGGGGAACCUGCGGUUGGAUCACCUCC